CCCAGUGCAAUGCGGAACGAUCGCGAGCAGCGAAACAGCACGGAAGCACGUGGUUAGGAAUCUGGGGGAGCGGCGCAAUGGAGAGCACUGUGCGGUAAUGAAGCAAGCAGUGAAAAAAGAAAAGAAACCCCUCACGAUCGCGAAAACCGAUCGUCUCCGAUGCGAUCCGCGCGUGUACGCACGACAGCCGAGGAGGGCGCGCACACGAGCGAACGCAGCCAAGUUGCGCUCUCUCGCAGGCGCCAACAGUAGUUUGGCUGCAGCAUCCAACGGUUGCGGUUCUGGCCCCGGGCCCGUCGUCUUCUUGUGCCGGGUUGCGGAACGGUGCGUCCCGCAAAAUAAACGCGCUUUGUGUAGUUCGUGCGAUCGUGUGUAUUUGUGGCAUGACUUUUGCUAAAAGUGCAUUAGUGAACUAAUCAUGUGAAUAACUGUUUAUAGAAAGUGUUCAAUCUGAAAUAUCCCAUUUUUUGUGUUAUUUAAAAUGUAAAGAAUGUGUCUGAAAAUGUGAAUUUUCUGCGAAAAACGACCAAGGUGAAUAGAGAGAGAGAGAGAGACGCACAUACAUCGUGUUGGCUGUCCCGGGAGCAGCACGGACGGCUGUGCGAUGGCCCGUUAGCUUUGUAUUUUCGUUCGUGUCAGUGUCAGUGAAAAACGGGAAAAUCCCAAUCUCAAUGUGAAGUGAAAAUAGCGGAGUGUUUGUGCGUCAAAAGUGUCGUGCGUGUGAAACAGACACGCGAACGACAGGAAAAUCUCUUCACGACGACAAAGUAUCGCUUACUCGAUCGUUUUUCCCCAUGCUGUAUGUGUGUGCGUAGUGACAGUAGCAGCAAAAGAGUUGCAAUAAACGAAUGUUGCUUGUAAUCCCAUCACAUCGCCGUCUUUCCAUCUGCUAAAUCGCUUCCGUCAAGGAGGCGAUCUGCAAGCAGUGUGUUGAUUUGUCCCCUCCCGGGUUCAAGUGACAGUGCGUGUGUGUUCUGCAACUCUUUGUCGACUGAACUCAUCUCCUCCAACGGUUCAGAAGUUCGGUGCUAUUGGUACGUUUAUUUACGCGCGAGCACUCAUGAUGUUGGCCGUCCCAGUGCCCCAUGAAUCAAGCGCGAAAGUGAAUUCAGGAUUAAAUAUCAAAGCCACCGAAGUCGCACCAUUGAACGCCACCGUUCGAGCGCACGCGGUCAAGAUCAUUCGGUGACGCGAUUUGAAUCAUUUCGCGGCCCUUUAAGCCUUCUUUGCUGUGCUUCUGUGUACAGUGUAAGUACCGCUACCGAAAGGGACAAACGCACUCGAGGUUUGAUUGAAGGCAGCACCACAAACAACCCAAAUUGACGCAAUCGCGCGUGUGUUUAUCGCGCAGAAUCCCGCUCCCGCAGACUAGCGCGAACGGCGCAACCGUCUCAAGUGUGCGUGGCUUAAUAGAAUAAUGCACCUCCUUGAUUCGUCGAAGGGGGGACAACUCGACAGAACGACGGAUUCGCGUGUAAUAUGAACCGCCAAUCCGAUGGUGGUGCCAAAGUGCUUGUGAACGCGUACGCCGGUGGGAGCAGCAGCAGCGGCAACGGGAACCGGAGCAGAAGGGCUGAAGACGCCGGCAGAACGCCCAAAUCAAAGUCAAAACCGUCGGUGCAGGUAAGAGGCAAUUAUUUACAGCAAACAAAUGCGGUACAAAUCAUUUCCAUUACCUCCCUCGUUACACGCUCGUGGUACGGAAGUGUCCCAUCAUUAAGAUGCGAGUAGAGGUCGCGAGAAUGUGAAUAUGAUACUUUCGUGUUUUGGAUAUAGUUAUUUAUACAUACAUGUUGUUCAUUGAAAUUUAGAUGUUUAUACGCUAAGCGAUUUGAGAUGGAAUUCCCCAAUAGAUUAAAAAUGUUUCCUAUUAAAUGUAUCUGUCUUAAUGAGCAUUUGUAUCAUUUCCCAAUAAUUACAACAUAAACAACACGGCAAAAUAGGGAUGGAUAUCAAAGAUAAAAGAAAAGUCUAAUUUAAAUACGUUACAUUGUACAGUCUGUUCCCGAGUUACAUGGUUCUCGACUUACGCGGAUUCGGAGAUACGCGGAUUUCUAAAUUGGACAGAUUAAAUGUUAAAUCAGUACAAUUUGCUUCAAGUUUAGUAUAAAUUGCAUUUUUGCUAACAAUUUGAAACCGCCCAAAAGCGAGAAAUAUUAGAAAUUUUCUA